AUGAUUGAGCCUAAGCAGCAGGUUGAGACGAUCCGUGCGCAGAUGCAGGAGGUGGCAUCGUUCUUGACGAAUAAGAUGAACGCAUCUCAGGCCGUACAACUCAUGGAGAGGGAAGACAUCUCGAACCACAUCUCAAUUCUGUGCGAUAACUUGUCCAAAUUCAGAGCAUUGCUCGUCGAGAUCGGAUUCGAUGCCGCGGGCAGCCGAUCAUCUAUGAAGAAGAAUGCUCAGAACUUUAUGAAGGAGCAUUCUGCCCGCAUGCGCGAGAUCCAGGAGCGGAUUGCCGAGGAAAAGAAGAUCCGGAUCCGCGACAAGCUGCAGCUGAUCCCUUUCCAAGAGCCCGAGCAGUACAUGCAUGAGUACUGUACGAGAUUUGUCGUACAGUAG
rnacentral:rRNA from 1 species